AACGAACGCUGGCGGCAGGCUUAACACAUGCAAGUCGAACGCCCCGCAAGGGGAGUGGCAGACGGGUGAGUACCGCGUGGGAACAUACCCUUUUCUACGGAAUAGCUCUGGGAAACUGGAAUUAAUACCGUAUACGCCCUACGGGGGAAAGAUUUAUCGGGGAAGGAUUGGCCCGCGUUGGAUUAGCUAGUUGGUGGGGUAAAGGCCUACCAAGGCGACGAUCCAUAGCUGGUCUGAGAGGAUGAUCAGCCACAUUGGGACUGAGACACGGCCCAAACUCCUACGGGAGGCAGCAGUGGGGAAUAUUGGACAAUGGGCGCAAGCCUGAUCCAGCCAUGCCGCGUGAGUGAUGAAGGCCUUAGGGUUGUAAAGCUCUUUAACCGAUGAAGAUAAUGACGGUAGUCGGAGAAGAAGCCCCGGCUAACUUCGUG
rnacentral:rRNA from 1 species